UACAGAGGGGGCGAGCGUUAUUCGGAAUUAUUGGGCGUAAAGGGCGCGUAGGCGGCUUUUCAAGUGACGGGUGAAAUCCCUCGGCUUAACCGAGGAACUGCCUGCCAGACUGUGAGGCUUGAGACCGGGAGAGGUGAGUGGAAUUCCCAGUGUAGCGGUGAAAUGCGUAGAUAUUGGGAGGAACACCAGUGGCGAAGGCGGCUCACUGGACCGGAACUGACGCUGAGGCGCGAAAGCAUGGGGAGCGAACAGG
rnacentral:rRNA from 1 species